CAAAAAAAGAACUAGACAGAGCCCGGGAUAAAACCAGCGUAAACAUAGGAAUGGCCUUUCAGAGGUGGAAGGAACUCUGUGAUCUGGAAGGACGGAAAACUGACGCAGAGUUGGCGAAUUUUCUGGUUGACAGGUCAGAGAUUGCCUUAGACAGAGGCAUGCUGUUGCACUUUGAAGAAUAAAGAAUCCUAUCUUCCAGCAAAAAUCUAAGUUUAUGUUGACCUUGACUGACAGCUGUGCAUUGUUACUCUGCAUACAACCUACAUUGUUAUGUUACUUUGAAAAAUAAAGCGUGACAAUAUUUA